rnacentral:rRNA from 1 species
CUACGUGCCAGCAGCCGCGGUAAUACGGAGGGUGCGAGCGUUAAUCGGAAUAACUGGGCGUAAAGGGCACGCAGGCGGUUAUUUAAGUGAGGUGUGAAAGCCCCGGGCUUAACCUGGGAAUUGCAUUUCAGACUGGGUAACUAGAGUACUUUAGGGAGGGGUAGAAUUCCACGUGUAGCGGUGAAAUGCGUAGAGAUGUGGAGGAAUACCGAAGGCGAAGGCAGCCCCUUGGGAAUGUACUGACGCUCAUGUGCGAAAGCGUGGGGAGCAAACAGGAUUAGAUACCCUGGUAGUCCACGCUGUAAACGAUGUCGAUUUGGGGGUUGAGCUUUGAGCUUGGCGCCCGUAGCUAACGUGAUAAAUCGACCGCCUGGGGAGUACGACCGCAAGGUUAAAACUCAAAUGAAUUGACGGGGGCCCGCACAAGCGGUGGAGCAUGUGGUUUAAUUCGAUGCAACGCGAAGAACCUUACCUACUCUUGACAUCCAGA